rnacentral:rRNA from 1 species
CAGCAGCCGCGGUAAUACGGAGGGUGCAAGCGUUAAUCGGAAUUACUGGGCGUAAAGCGCACGCAGGCGGUCUGACAAGUCAGAUGUGAAAUCCCCGGGCUUAACCUGGGAACUGCAUUUGAAACUGUCAGGCUGGAGUCUUGUAGAGGGGGGUGGAAUUCCAGGUGUAGCGGUGAAAUGCGUAGAGAUCUGGAGGAAUACCGGUGGCGAAGGCGGCCCCCUGGACAAAGACUGACGCUCAGGUGCGAAAGCGUGGGGAGCAAACAGGAUUAGAUACCCGCGUAGUCCCUGUCUCUUAUAU